AUGCAUCCAGAAAUCUCAAAAUCAGCGAAAGGCCCUAAAAAACUGCCACAUCCAAGAGCAUCUGCCCAUCCAAGAACAAGAGCUGCUCAAAUGCAUUUCCUGCCCCGUGUAAGCUAUGAAAGAGAAACAACUUGCCUGCAGGGUCAUACUUCUGUUUCUUUUGUAAUCUAGGUUGAACAUAUGAUUGUGGAAUAAGUAAUCUACUAGUGGAGGUGACAAAAACCCCACCUUUGUUUUAUAAUUAGCAACAAGUGAGUACAGCGGCCUAUGAAAAAAAAAAACAACUGCCAAGCUUUUGUGCCAGGAGAGCUUCUGGCACAGGGACAGCUCCCCAAGAGAAGACAACAUCAUUUAAAGAUUUUUUCUCUGCGUCUCCUAGACUAGGCUUUCUCUGUACAAAAUUGAGAAUACCUCGAAGACUGCAGUAACCCAGUUUCUUGGCAUGCAGAUGAGCUGUUCAGGAGAGAGCAGACAAGUGGUACUGAAGCAGAGCUGUGCACCUCCUAAGGGCCUGGACUACUGAAGACAGGGGUGAUGAGCAGCUAGGUUGGCUUUGCACUUCUCGGCAUUUGACCCGUUGCUGAAGGGAUUUCUGCAUAAGAUGGCUUUAUAGCCUCUGUGCACAAGUGAAAUGGCCCAACAGAGGCUGUAAUACAACUGAGAACUGGGCCAACAGUGUCCUGGAGCGAUUUAAGACAGAAACUGUCUGGGUUUAUGCUUAUAUACAGCUGUUGCCU
rnacentral:lncRNA from 1 species